rnacentral:tRNA from 1 species
GAGGCGCUAGUAAAACAUUACAUAGCCCCGUCAGAGCUAAAUUACAGACCAGGCCGCUGUGCGCCCCA